UUGCAAACCUUGGUUUUAAAUAAUAUAUAAACCCUGUUCUGGUACAGGGAAGAGACAAUUUGGAGUCUGCCAAGGGUUUGAGCAGUUUGAAGAGUGAAAGAAGAUGGAGUUCAUUAAUGUCUCGUUACGUUGCUGUUCAACUUAACUGCCGCCUCCAAACUUUUCUCUGCCUGCAAUCAAACAAAAUCAAUCAAGACCAUGAUGAUAGUGAUUUCAUCAUCUCUAGGACGCAUACAUAAUUUUUCAUCAACUCUCUUUUGAUUGGCAGAUCGCAGAUUAGCAAUCAUCUUAUGAAAUUUAAUUGAUGCUGAUAUAUUUACAUCUAUUUUGUCUCUUUAAUCAACGGCGAUAUGGAUGUUAAGAUUAUUUGAUUUUACCUAAGUUGCUUUCAAAAUGUUUGCUUAAAUGCCUGAAUGAAAGAUUUGGUAAAAUCAAACCUAGGACGUGGUCUACCUAAAAUUGAUUUUUACAUGACAGUUUCAUUAGAAUUGAUUUUGCUCAAUCAUAUGAGCAAAACUAUAAGUUUCCGCAGAUUCUUAUGUGGUUAAUUAUAGCAAAUAGCAAGAUUUAUAAGUUUUUUUUAUCAAAACUUUAUUUGGCCUUUCAUGCGGUCUCAGUUGCCAUCUUCCAAUUUACCAUGUAAUAUAUCACUUUUUGCUUGCUUUAGUUGUAAUGGUGAUGAUGGUGAUGGGUAAUGAAGAUAAAGGUCUGGAUUGUUUUGAAAAGAUAGUGUUGGUUUGAAUUUAUGUGGGUUUGUAAGAGAUUUGAAGUCAUUGUAGGGAAGGAGAUUUAGAAGGGCUAAGAAAUCAAACCAAAAGCUAAUUCUUCGUUAUCGAAAUCACGCAUAGCAGUGUGCUUAAAAAGUCCUUAAGCAAUUUAGUAUACACCACAGAAUGUGUGUAGUAAUGAUAACUGAUAACCCCUAGUUUCUAUUGGUCGAAAUUUUCUAUUGCUUAAAACAACUUCCAACUUUUAUUGGUUUUCUUUUAUCGUUCCUCUAAUAUUUAUGUUUUAUGUUUGCAUUACAGAUGGAAUUGGAAUAUUUGGUGUCUCACCCAGUAGUGAUGAAUACCAGAUGAUUAGUCUUUAGGAUCCACAAAACUAUAAAAGCAUCCAAGUUGUAGAGCAUAUUAAGACAGGUUGUGAUUGGAAAUUUGGUCCAUUAAUUCGCGAUAUAAAGAAACAAGUUUUGAACCAGAAUAGAGCUGAGGAAACAAAUACCUGCAAGAACCUUUAAUCUUCAAGCCACCAUGGAUAGAGUCAUCUCUCUCUUAGGGUUUGUUAUCACACCUCACCAUGGAGGUAGGAAUUGCUAAGAACAUAAAUGAUGAAACACCAUAUGCUUGUAUCAAUGACAUAUGUUUGUUAUCCUGGUGCGAUUCUGAAUCAGUAGUGGGUAAGACAAAUCAGUAGUUUUUCUUUUUCAAUCUUUAUUUUUAGUUUACUUUUGAGACACGUUAAUUAAUAGGGUUCUUAUGAUGUAACGGGUUUCAGGUUAGAAAGAGCAGAAGAAGGAGAGGAAGUAUGAAUGUUAAUAAGAUUUUUUAAAUAAGUAUUGUUAUGGGUUUAUCCUUUAAUCUAUAUUUUUUUUCCCUUUAGGUCACAAAUCCAAACCCAUCCUAACAUUUUCUUGGUUUCCUUACUUUUGAAUAUAUGUCCAUUUGGGAAUUAGUGAAUCUUAGCCAAAAGUUCCUUUUUGCAGAGAAUUUAUAGAGAAGGUAACCUCCAAAAAUGUUGUUUGCCUACGGACUCCAGAUAUUGUCGUUUUGACUCUUCACUGUGGUACUGUGCCCCCUAUACCACACUAAUUUACGAACAUAGUUAUGGCGCAACAAAUCAACUGCACGCCACACAAAUGUAUCUUAUUCUUUCUCCAUCUAAGUCGCCAUAGAACAAGUUUCACUGCCA